AAAUGUGGGUAAAUGGGUGGUAAAUCGGCACAAAAUGUGGUUAAAUUGGAGCAAAGUGUGGUUGAAUCUGAUCAAAGGGUGGUUGAAUCGGUGGAAAAUGGGGGUAAAUGGGUGGAAAAUGGGGGUAAAUGGGUGGAAAAUGUGGUUAAAUCUGAUCAAAGUGUGGUUAAAUCGGCACAAAAUGUGGGUAAAUGGGUGCAAAAUGGGGGUAAAUCG
rnacentral:lncRNA from 1 species